rnacentral:rRNA from 1 species
UACGUAGGGUGCAAGCGUUGUCCGGAAUUAUUGGGCGUAAAGAGCUCGUAGGCGGUCUGUCACGUCGGCUGUGAAAACCCGAGGCUCAACCUCGGGCCUGCAGUCGAUACGGGCAAACUAGAGUACUGCAGGGGGAGACUGGAAUUCCUGGUGUAGCGGUGAAAUGCGCAGAUAUCAGGAGGAACACCGGUGGCGAAGGCGGGUCUCUGGGCAGUAACUGACGCUGGAGGAGCGAAAAGCGUGGGGAGCGAACAGG